rnacentral:rRNA from 1 species
GAACAGACGAGGAGCUUGCUCCUCUGACGUUAGCGGCGGACGGGUGAGUAACACGUGGAUAACCUACCUAUAAGACUGGGAUAACUUCGGGAAACCGGAGCUAAUACCGGAUAAUAUAUUGAACCGCAUGGUUCAAUAGUGAAAGACGGUUUUGCUGUCACUUAUAGAUGGAGUCCGCGCCGCAUUAGCUAGUUGGCAAGGUAACGGCAUACCAAGGCAACAAUGCGUAGCCGACCUGAGAGGGUGAUCGGCCACACUGGAACUGAGACACGGUCCAGACUCCUACGGGAGGCAGCAGUAGGGAAUCUUCCGCAAUGGGCGAAAGCCUGACGGAGCAACGCCGCGUGAGUGAUGAAGGUCUUCGGAUCGUAAAACUCUGUUAUUAGGGAAGAACAAAUGUGUAAGUAACUAUGCACGUCUUGACGGUACCUAAUCAGAAAGCCACGGCUAACUACGUGCCAGCAGCCGCGGUAAUACGUAGGUGGCAAGCGUUAUCCGGAAUUAUUGGGCGUAAAGCGCGCGUAGGCGGUUUUUUAAGUCUGAUGUGAAAGCCCACGGCUCAACCGUGGAGGGUCAUUGGAAACUGAAAAACUUGAGUGCAGAAGAGGAAAGUGGAAUUCCAUGUGUAGCGGUGAAAUGCGCAGAGAUAUGGAGGAACACCAGUGGCGAAGGCGACUUU